UGGAGGGGUGCGAUAGGGCUCCAAAAGCCAAGAAAGAGUUGGCUUACAGAGUGGGCGGAAUGGAUCCUACUCUGUUUCGCCCUCCCUUCGCACUGCUCUCACCUGCCUGCAGCAUCCAGCCGCGCUUCCACCGCAGUUAACAACUUUCAUGACCCUUUUUUCGUUGCCUCAAAGGCCAGAGACUUCCCAAGAGCGCUAUCGCCAGGCCCCGCCCCUCUGUCCUGCCGCACCUCCUCAUUGGCGGAGAGGACUGUUUCCGUUAGUCAAUCGCGUUAGCCCUAGCACCCGACUCCACCCACUCAGCAUCCUGGGCGUACGCAAUUGGUCAGAAAUGGAAGCUUACUUGCUUUGGGUGCUCCUGCUCCUGGUUCAUCUCAGCAAUUUGCCUGACAGAGCGAUCAAGUCCAACCAGAAGUCAGAGAGCAAAGGGACCUGUUGAUUCACCUCACUGUGGUCAAGACAGAACAGAGCAGAUCUGGAAAACAGCCUAAGGAUGCUCUUCUGCAAGCAGUCUGCCUUUCAUAUUUGUAUCUGCUCUCAGCUACACACG
rnacentral:lncRNA from 1 species